rnacentral:lncRNA from 1 species
AUUUCUUGCGGCCAUAGCUCCCUUCCUCAUCAUCACCAUAGCUAGGCUUCCUGUAACUUCCUUCUUCCUGUUCCUCGGACCUUCCAUAGCUUGGCUUCCUGUAACCUUCUUCCUCCUGUUCCUCAGAUCUUCCAUAGCUGGGCCUUAUGUAACUCUCUACCUGCUCCUCAGACCUUCCAUAGCUAGGCUUCCUGUAACUUCCUUCCUCCUGCUCCUCAGAUCUUCCAUAGCUAGGCUUCCUGUAACCUUCUUCUUCUUCCUCAGAUCUUCCAUAACUAGGCUUCCUGUAACCUUCUUCCUCCUCAGAUCUUCCAUAGCUAGGCUUCCUGUAACCUUCUUCUUCUUCCUCAGAUCGUCCAUAACUCGGCUUCCUGUAACCUUCUUCCUCCUGUUCCUCAGAUCUUCCAUAGCUAGGCUUAAUGUAACUUUCAACCUGCUCCUCAGAUCUUCCAUAGCUAGGCUUCCUGUAACCUUCUUCUUGUUCCUCAGAUCUUCCAUAGCUAGGCUUACGCUCAUACUCGCUCCUCUCUUCACCGAAACUCGGUUUCUUUUCAUACCCGGAUCCAUACCCGGUCUCAGAUCCCCCACCAUACCCAGAUUCAGGUCUCCGACCAUACUCAACCUCGGUUCGUCCACCAGAUCCAUACUCCGAUUCAGCCUCCGUUCGACCACCAUAGCCAGAUCCGUAACCCUGCUCAG